rnacentral:rRNA from 1 species
UAGGGAAUCUUCGGCAAUGGGGGGAACCCUGACCGAGCAACGCCGCGUGAGUGAAGAAGGUCUUCGGAUCGUAAAGCUCUGUUGUUAAGGAAGAACGAGUGUGAGAAUGGAAAGUUCAUGCUGUGACGGUACUUAAGCAGAAAGGGACGGCUAACUACGUGCCAGCAGCCGCGGUAAUACGUAGGUCCCGAGCGUUGUCCGGAUUUAUUGGGCGUAAGGUGAGCGCAGGCGGUUAGAAAAGUCUGAAGUGAAAGGCAGUGGCUCAACCAUUGUAGGCUUUGGAAACUGUUUAACUUGAGUGCAGAAGGGGAGGGUGGAAUUCCAUGUGUAGCGGUGAAAUGCGUAGAGAUAUGGAGGAACACCGGUGGCGAAAGCGGCUCUCUGGUCUGUAACUGACGCUGAGGCUCGAAAGCGUGGGGAGCGAACAGG